rnacentral:rRNA from 1 species
UACGGAGGGUGCAAGCGUUAUUCGGAAUUACUGGGCGUAAAGGGCGUGCAGGCGGUCUGAUAAGUCUGAUGUGAAAGCCCUGGGCUUAACCCGGGAAGUGCAUUGGAUACUGCCAGACUUGAGUAUCGGAGAGGAAGGGAGAAUUCCCGGUGUAGAGGUGAAAUUCGUAGAGAUCGGGAGGAACAUCAGUGGCGAAGGCGCCCUUCUGGACGAUUACUGACGCUGAGACGCGAAAGCGUGGGUAGCAAACAGG